UUUAAUUGUUUAUUUUUCGGAUUUAUCUGCAUGCUAUAAUCUUAAUUUUUUGAUAAAUUUCCAACAGUUGGGAAGGCGGAUGCGAUGACGAGGAUGGGAUACAUUUUAUUAACAGUUUUCGGUGACAGAGCACUUCGGAGAUGAUAGUAACGUUCAUCCUAAGCCCCCUCCUGGGGUGUACUUCAUUUAUGAUUUCUCUCCGAUCAAGGUGAUCUACACAGAAGGAAAAGUGUCAUUCCUACAUUUCCUGACAAAUAUAUGCGCUAUAAUUGGAGGGGUCUUCACGGUUGCUGGAAUCAUCGAUUCCUUCAUCUAUCACGGCCAAAGAGCGAUUAAGAAGAAGAUAGACCUGGGAAAGCACCGAUGAUGUUGUAAUGACCCUUGUCUGGGAAAGCACUGAUUUAAAUUCUAGAGGAAUGCUGAAAGUUAGUAAUUUGCUCCGACUACUGUUCAGUUCAUGAAAUGUCAGCUAGGAUUGCGGAUACAUUGUUUUUUGGGAUUGAACAUACUGAAAAGUUGAUUCCUUUUGGUAGGUGAUUUGAGUAAUUUUUUUUGUCUGGUUUUGAAAAAGGAAACGCACUGUUUGAUAGUAUAUAUCUUGUAGAUGGGGAUCAUACUGAAUUAACUUACAAGAAGUAGGGUUUUAUGCUAUUCCUUGAUUUCUUUAGUGGGUAUUUGGUUUCAGUGGUAAGUGAUGAGUGGAUGGCAGAUUAAUUGGAGCUUUUUAAGAGUAGGAACUUGGGAGUGGUUGGGGAAUUAUAUUGGUUUGCUUUGAGUUUUGUCGAAUGGUAUCAUGUUAGGUAUGAUUUGUUUACUUUCUUUGCCUAA